GAAUACGUAAAACAGUACACGUGAGGCUUCCUUGUAUUGUUUACAAGAAUCAGAUGCGUUCAUCAUACACACGUAUUCAAGAUGUGCCUAACCCCAUACACAACUCAUUUGCACGUCAAGUCAAAGGUGGUGAUACUGGCUAAAAGCUGUAGUGUUAUGAUUUUAUACUCAUGUCCGAACGAAGAAUGUCAAUAAAGGAGCUAGGAGUUAGGCAACUCAUCGCGAAGGAUCUUCUUUGAAAAUAUGAAUCUUUGAAAAUAAUUAUUAACUAGGGUUUGAAAAGGAGGGCGAGUCUCUUAAAUGAUUUUCUUAUGUGUGGGGAAAAAGAAACAAGCCCUAGCCGUGUUAUCCUCUGUUGACGCGUUUUCUAGCAGUAGUUGAUCAUAAGACUCCAGAUUUCAGACGUAGGGUUAAACGAAACAAUUGAUAAUCGUGGACUUCAAAUCGCUAAGAGUUAAAUGAGUCUGAUUUACGUAAAUGUUGCAUUAUUUGAGGGGUAUCUGAAAGAUAAACAUUUUUAUCAAAGAAAAAUAACAUUGAACUACAUGAUCGAUUAGCGGAGUUUUGUGGGACACUAUAAUUUUGGAAAUAUUGGAGUCCCUAAGAUCCACCAUUCAUUUUUAAAUAAAUCCAAAGGCUGAGAUUUAAGGACUAAAAAAAACGGCUGACAGUUACUACUCGUUUUUGAAAGCUUUUACGCGCACGACUCUGCAAGUUUCAUCCCGCAUCAACCGGUGAAGGACACAGCAACGCUAUCAUCAAUCCCCCUCUUUCACGGUGUUUCUCGGUAUUUGUAGAGCGAUCUCAAUAGCGGAGCUUAUUGUGCAGAACAAGGCAAAGUUGGGCGAAAAUGAGCUCUGAACGGUAGAGACGUAACUCAACGACCGAUGAGGGGUUUGCAGGACGCAUCAAUUUUGUUCGAAGUCUAGUUAUGAGUCGAUAAUGCUUGUCCUUAUGAAGUGCAAGAAAAACACCAUGGACAGAAGGACUAGAGUAGACGCUUAGUAUAGAAAGGAUGAUCGAAAAUUCUUGUUAAACAAGCUGCAGAUUUAUAGUCAUCGCUUAGUGACAUGGCGCUACAAUGAGAAGAUGAAGCUAGUACUAGACGGUAUCAACCACAUUGCUAGAAAUGAAGAAACAAAUGGGGUAAAGGAAUGAUGACAUCCCUACCGAUUAAGUUAAAAAAAAAAUACAUAAUCUGAAAGACUAAGUUCUAUGUAUUAGUUUGCUCGUUUUAUGAUACUGCAGUUUUAGGACUGUGUAAGACGGAAUCUCUUGAAUUUGUUAACUGUGAUUUGGAUUUGGAAUGCUAUGACAUAUAAUGGACUUAUUGUCAUUGUUUGGCUGAAUUAGUAGACUGAUAAUACAUUACUUCUGGGUGCCUAAAUUCGGAGAUAUUGCGGUGAACAACCUUCAUGUUCUGCGAUCUGGAUGUUCUGCAUUUGAAUGACUACGUUCCUCCUUAUCUUGACUUCCAUGAUAUUUGAAAAUA